UACGGGGGGGGCAAGCGUUGUUCGGAAUUACUGGGCGUAAAGGGCUCGUAGGCGGCCAACUAAGUCGGAUGUGAAAUCCCCAGGCUCAACCUGGGAACUGCAUCCGAUACUGGAUGGCUUGAAUUCGGGAGAGGGAUGCAGAAUUCCAGGUGUAGCGGUGAAAUGCGUAGAUAUCGAGAGGAACACCUGCGGCGAAGGCGGGUUGCUGGGCUGAUACUGACGCUGAGGCGCGAAAGCCAGGGGAGCGAACGGG
rnacentral:rRNA from 1 species